AACGAACGCUGGCGGCAUGCCUAACACAUGCAAGUCGAACGAGACCUUCGGGUCUAGUGGCGCACGGGUGCGUAACGCGUGGGAACCUGCCUUUAGGUUCGGAAUAAAUCAGAGAAAUUUGAGCUAAUACCGGAUGAUGUCUUCGGACCAAAGAUUUAUCGCCUUUAGAUGGGCCCGCGUUGGAUUAGCUAGUUGGUGGGGUAAAGGCCUACCAAGGCGACGAUCCAUAGCUGGUCUGAGAGGAUGAUCAGCCACACUGGGACUGAGACACGGCCCAGACUCCUACGGGAGGCAGCAGUGGGGAAUAUUGGACAAUGGGCGAAAGCCUGAUCCAGCAAUGCCGCGUGAGUGAUGAAGGCCUUAGGGUUGUAAAGCUCUUUUACCCGAGAUGAUAAUGACAGUAUCGGGAGAAUAAGCUCCGGCUAACUCCGUG
rnacentral:rRNA from 1 species